rnacentral:rRNA from 1 species
UACGUAGGGUGCGAGCGUUGUCCGGAAUUAUUGGGCGUAAAGAGCUCGUAGGCGGUGUGUCACGUCGGCCGUGAAAACCUGCGGCUCAACUGCAGGCUGGCGGUCGAUACGGGCAGGCUGGAGUUCGGUAGGGGAGACUGGAAUUCCUGGUGUAGCGGUGAAAUGCGCAGAUAUCAGGAGGAACACCGGUGGCGAAGGCGGGUCUCUGGGCCGAUACUGACGCUGAGGCGCGAAAGCUAGGGGAGCAAACGGG